rnacentral:snoRNA from 1 species
UGGAUCGAUGAUGACCACUGGUGGCGUCUGAGUCUUGUAUCGUGACUACAGCUCUGGAAGUCUGAGGUCCAC